UUUUUGUAUGAGAUUCAGUGAGUUUAGAGACUUUGAUGAUUCUGAGUGACACUUCUGGAUUGUUUGGAAGGUCUCAACUUUUCGGAUGGGGCUAAUGUGUAAUUCUCUUUUUUGUUUUUUUUCUUUUCUUUUUGCUACAACAAACGUGUAAUUCUCAAUCUCUCAAACCUUCAUAUGCUUUUAUCAAGGAAACACAAGAAACUAGAAAACAUGGAAUUGCAUUUUUGUUAUAUUCUGCUCAUUAACUAAUAACUGUUUUCU
rnacentral:lncRNA from 1 species